rnacentral:rRNA from 1 species
CCCUUCGGGGCUUGUUGGUGAUUCAUAAUAACUUCUCGAAUCGCAUGGCCUUGCGCCGGCGAUGGUUCAUUCAAAUUUCUGCCCUAUCAACUUUCGAUGGUAGGAUAGUGGCCUACCAUGGUGGCAACGGGUAACGGGGAAUUAGGGUUCGAUUCCGGAGAGGGAGCCUGAGAAACGGCUACCACAUCCAAGGAAGGCAGCAGGCGCGCAAAUUACCCAAUCCCGAUACGGGGAGGUAGUGACAAUAAAUACUGAUGCAGGGCUCUUUCGGGUCUUGCAAUCGGAAUGAGUACAAUCUAAAUCCCUUAACGAGGAACAAUUGGAGGGCAAGUCUGGUGCCAGCAGCCGCGGUAAUUCCAGCUCCAAUAGCGUAUAUUAAAGUUGUUGCAGUUAAAAAGCUCGUAGUUGAACCUUGGGCCUGGCUGGCCGGUCCGCCUCACGGCGUGCACUGGUCCGGCUGGGUCUUUCCUUCUGGGGAGCCCCAUGGCCUUCACUGGCUGUGGGGGGAACCAGGACUUUUACUGUGAAAAAAUUAGAGUGUUCAAAGCAGGCCUUUGCUCGGAUACAUUAGCAUGGAAUAAUAGAAUAGGACGUGCGGUUCUAUUUUGUUGGUUUCUAGGACCGCCGUAAUGAUUAAUAGGGAUAGUCGGGGGCGUCAGUAUUCGGCUGUCAGAGGUGAAAUUCUUGGAUUUGCCGAAGACUAACUACUGCG